GAAGGGAAUAUACAAGCUGGAAAGCAAAACUUACAUGUGGGAAAUGAUAAAAGUCUUAGAAUAUGCUAGUUGGAAAGAUAAAAGGGGGUAAUCUUGAUCUUUAAAUAGAAACACCACACACACAUAAAAAGGGGAGAACUUUCAGACUUGAAAACAAUAAUAUUUUUAGAGCUUUUAAGGAAAUUUGAUUUCUCGAGAGAGGGUUUUAAAAAUAGGAACUGUAAGUUUGAGACAUAGAGUUCCGAAGGGUAUUUAGAAUGUUCGGAGAGAUUUUCGGACAUUAAAAGAGAGCUUAUGACAUUCUUGAAGGAGAUGGAGGUCUAAAACAAAAAGACGAGAGCUUAGGAAUACAGAACAUUGGGUUUAGAAAGGUCUUGAUAAUCUUACUGAAAUAACUCUACUGUUCCAUUGAAAUUGGUCUACUCUUUGUUGGUUUUUAUGGAAUUCCUUGGUUCAAUUUCAAGCUCGUUUGAGUUUUUUUUAGUCUAUUUGGAUAUUUGUUGUUAUUAUUGUUUCACACUUCAUUUCGGAAUGUGUUUAAGUGUGUUUCCGGGCUGAACUAGUUGUGUUCGUGGCUGUUUGAACUCCAAAUCUGCUGUUAAACUUCUUGUUUGCUGCUACUCACUUUCUCCUACUUCAAUGUUGUAACUUCCACGUACAUAUUUUGCUCUUAUCCUGCUGUAGAUCUCAAUUUAAGAGUGAAAUAAAGACUAUGAAUGACUUCCCAUGUUUAAUUAUGUUCGAUUGGUCUACGGUAGUCUCACCAGUUCUCAUAACUAGAUGAAUAUUCAUCUUUUAAUUAAUAUGCAAUUGAGACAUGUAAUUGCUAGGCUAGAAAACAGUUUGUUAGCAUUGUAACUGUUUAAUUGGAAUGUAUUAAUGAAUAUUUUCAGAUCUAUAUGGACGUUAUGAGUAGAAUGCUAGUUGUAGUCAAUUUUAGUUUAAACUAUUAGACU
rnacentral:lncRNA from 1 species